UAUGUGAUCGUCUCUCGCAUAUCAAUAGCGGAGGAAAAGAAACUAACAAGGAUUCCCCUAGUAACGGCGAGUGAAGCGGGAAGAGCUCAAAUUUGAAAUCUUAAAGGGUUUCCCUUUACGAAUUGUAGUUUAAAGAAGUGUUUUCUGUUGAGGUUUUGGUAAAAGUUCUUUGGAAUAGGACAUCAUAGAGGGUGAGAAUCCCGUAUUUGACCUUUACUUUCAACUUUGUGAUACACUUUCAAAGAGUCGGAUUGUUUGGGAAUGCAGUCCAAAAUGGGUGGUAAAUUUCAUCUAAAGCUAAAUAUUGGCGAGAGACCGAUAGGCGAACAAGUACCGUGAGGGAAAGAUGAAAAGAACUUUGAAAAGAGAGUUAAACAGUACGUGAAAUUGUCAAAAGGGAAGCGUUUGACACCAGUGUUGUUUUUCUGAAAAUCAAUUAAAGAACUGUUUAUGCUAAGUUGUUUAGACUUUAUCAGCUAUCUGUUUAGUUUUGAGCUUUUCUUUAAUGCACUUUUCAGUUAACAAGUCAACAUCAAUUUCUUUUGCUGUAAAAAAGCUUGAGGAAGGUGGCUUGAGAUUCGUCUUAAGUGUUUAUAGCCUCUUGCCUAUGCAGUCGGAGAGAUUGAGGUCUGCAGCGUAGAUCCUUCGGGGCUAAAUGCAUUUGUGCUAAGUUAUAGCAUUUUAUAGACAACUUGUUGACUAUGAUUUGUCUUGUAGCUUACUCGCUUAUGUUAUUUUACCUACGCUUAGGAUGUUGAUAUGCAUGACUGAUAU
rnacentral:rRNA from 1 species